AAAGUACUCCCUCCGUCCCAAAAUUCUUGUCUUAGAUUUGUCUAGAUAUGGAUGUAUCAAGUCACAUUUUAGUAUUAGAUACAUCCAUAUCUAGACAAACCUAAGACAAGAAAUUUGGGACAGAGGGAGUAGGUG
rnacentral:pre_miRNA from 1 species